UAUUCCCUUCACAGCUACCAUAUUUACAGUAAUAAAAACCUAACAGAGUCCAGGCAUGAUUAAUUUCCUUUUCUGUUCUGACAUUAUGAAAUAACAGUAAUGAAUUCCAAGUGCAUUUUAUGACCCCAGCAGUAUUGCUACAGGGAGUUUUCUAAUGCUGUCUUUGAUCAGUUUCUCAACACUAAUAAGUUAAUAGAUUUUUUUGAGUCUGUAUAAUUCCUGCAAGAACUUUUGAAAGUCAUGUUUUCUGAGGGUAUUAUAUUAUGUUUGUGGCUAGAUUUUCUUCUCUUGCAAGUGUUAUGUGUAAGAUUCAGUAAAUGUUCUAACUGGAAUUACUGGCCUACAGGUUGUCUGGAAAAACUGCCCACUACAUCACAACCCUCUUCUAUUUGAUACGAGGAAAUCAUCAAGCAAUAUUCUUUAUGUGUACUGGUAGGCAGCACUAAACCCCCAUGGCCUUUUUGGGCCCUGUAUAAACCUACAAAGCAUCUUUUCCACAUUAAGCUGUUAUUCGUAUAGCAUCAAUUUGCUAUUUUUAAACUAAUUUUCAUUAACUUAUUCGCCUUCCUUAUAUAAUAUUACUGGACAAUCCAUAUUUGAAACUUUUAAUUAUAUGAAAGGAGUAAUGAGCUAAUCAAAACUUUAAAAGAAUGAAUCCCUUUCCCAAGAGGUAUCCUGAGUAAAACCAGUUAUUUUUCUGAUGAGAACGAAACUCACCAUUCCUUUUCAUGUCCCCCUCCAAAGCCAGCUGCUGUUCUUUGUUGUCCUUAUGGUUGUGCUCAGUGGGGGAACAGUUUUUAGGCUGCACCACUGCAACCAAUCACCUUAAGUUAUCCCUCCAGUCCUGGGCUUCAGUAAAUCAUAAAGAACUUCAAAGCCAUGGCCCCCACUCUGCUUCCAUCUCCUAAAUUCUGCAGUUUUACUUGUGAGUUAUGGCAUCUUUCAUGUAGGCAAUAUUCGUGUAAAGAGUAAAAUAAAAAGGCCCAUAUGGCUGUCCUUAUCGAAUUCAUUUAUGGUCCUUUGAUCUGCCAAGCCUUAACUACAGGAAAUUUGCAUAAUUAUGAGGGUUUUCUUAAAAACAUUGUUAGAAUUGUUCUGUCUCCUAUUAACGUUGCAGGAUGUUGUUAAAAGAUAGCAGAAUAAUAAUUAGCAUGUAUUCUGUGCUUUUACUUUCACAUUGCUGGAAUCACUUGUAAUCUUACAAGAAAUACUGUUAAAUUAGCUACAAGGAAUAGCCAAUGUGAGCAUUAGAAUGGAGAAGUUUUGGGCCUUACAUCUGCAGUUAAUAUCUCCACACACCUUCUCUUCCUGAUAGGGAAAUCAACUGCAACAGCUUCUUCAAAUAUUUAAGGCAUUUGAUGCUUGAGAUCAGACCAGGUCCCAGGUAAAUCCAGGAGACGAGAAGUACACAAACUCAGAUUUAAGUCAUGCUUUCUGAUCCAUGUCCUGCAACUUGCCUUCUCCCUUUUCUUUUGGAGUUACUGUUUUUAAGGAGAUCCCACAGUUGAGUGUCAGCCAGCAUUUUCAGCUCUGCAUCUACAUUUCCAGGCUUUUAUUGGGAGAAUAUCUUCUAUGUUUCAGUCUGUGCUACACACAUCUGAAUUUUCUCUCCUGAAGUAAAAGUAUGCUGAUAGAGUUUGAAAUAAAUAGGCUCAUACUUGCAGCUUGUGUCUACCAAGCAUUAAUUCUGUGGCCCAGGAACAAGUGGCAGGAAAUGUCUCAGGUUUCCUCAAAGCUCCAGAUCCACAGGAAGAUGAGUAGCUUCACUGAAUGGCUCAUAUGGAUCAAGUCAUGAUUUGUUUAAGCAUCUGUACGAGUGAAGCUGUGUGGACUGAUGGUCUUUGCACCUCUCAUUCCAGAGCUCUUUCCUUUGCUGCUUUUGCUUUGUUUUGUUUUAAACCUUCCGUGGCAGAAUGACCUUUCACAUGCUGUGAAGUCGUGCCCUUCUGGUUUUUUGAAAUCUGCUUACUCUUCCCUGUUGUUGCAUUGAGUUCUCCUGCUGUUUAACUAAAUUGAAUUGUGAGGUGAACACAAAUGUCUAGCAGCUAUUAUGGUCGUGAAUUUAAACAUAAACAUUGCAAUAUGUACCAGGAAAAAAGCAAAAUAAGCUGAUUUUCAAUGGCCAUUUGACACUCAUUGUGUUCAUUGUGUCGCAUUCCACUACACAGAAAGAAGAGUGUAUUCAUGGAACAAGCUGGAAUAAUUUAAUAAUUGAAUAGCUGGAUUCAAUGAGAGGGAUUUUCUGUUUGCUAUAGUGACCCCCAAAGGCAGUAUGAAAGGAACUGAAGUAAAACUUUCAACUGAAGCCAAGCAAAUGUAUUUCUCCAACUUUCUAUGAAGCUUCCAAGAUGGAAGUUGUCGGGUUUUUGUUAGAUUGGGGAUUUUUCCUGAAAGCUUCUUUGUAAAUUCUUAGGCAUAUUCCAUGGGUUUUUCAUGACUAUCAGUUAUAUUUUCCCUUUCUCUUGCAGUGAGUGGUUCUGGCAUAUUUUCAAAUAAAAUAAAGAGCUGCCAGCUUCAAAAA